rnacentral:rRNA from 1 species
AUUGAACGCUGGCGGCAGGCCUAACACAUGCAAGUCGAACGGUAGCACAGAGAGCUUGCUCUCGGGUGACGAGUGGCGGACGGGUGAGUAACGUCUGGGAAACUGCCCGAUGGAGGGGGAUAACUACUGGAAACGGUAGCUAAUACCGCAUAACGUCGCAAGACCAAAGUGGGGGACCUUCGGGCCUCCCACCCUCGGAUGUGCCCAGAUGGGAUUAGCUAGUAGGUGGGGUAAUGGCUCACCUAGGCGACGAUCCCUAGCUGGUCUGAGAGGAGGACCAGCCACACUGGAACUGAGACACGGUCCAGACUCCUACGGGAGGCAGCAGUGGGGAAUAUUGCACAAUGGGCGCAAGCCUGAUGCAGCCAUGCCGCGUGUAUGAAGAAGGCCUUCGGGUUGUAAAGUACUUUCAGCGGGGAGGAAGGCGGUGAAGUUAAUAACUUCACCGAUUGACGUUACCCGCAGAAGAAGCACCGGCUAACUCCGUGCCAGCAGCCGCAGUAA